ACGCGCGGAUCCUUCGCCCACUAGGUCGGGUCGUCGGGCUGGAGGCCAAUCUAGGUCAGUACGGCGUCGUUUUGGAGCCAUAGAUCAGACUCCAAACGGCGUCGUUUAGACGUCCUUUGAGAAACAAAAAUAAAAGUAAAAAAUAAAACCUAAAAACUACUCAGCCAUCCACGAAAAACAAAUAAAAAAAGAAAUUCUUUGUUUCCCCUCUCCCCUUUGUGCGCCGUUCUCGAUCUAGAACCAUGCACGGUUCUUCCGGUAGCCGUGAAGCCGCCAAGAACGCCGACUGGGUCACUGAGGCAGGUACGGAGAGCAGAGGUGCGGACGUGGAGGUUUGGCACGAGCGAAGGAGUUGCGCGCGUGGGGAGUGGCUCGAGCUGCGGCGACUGAGGCUCGUCCCAAAGACUUGUUUAGGGUUUAGUUUUUCUUUGUUUUUGGGCUAUUGAAUAUUGGGCCUGAUUCUGGGCUUGUAAUGUUGAUUUGAUUUAUUGGGCUAGGCACUUAAUUUUAAUUUGGGCUUCUAUUAGUUGGACUGUUUGGACAUUUUAAUUUGGUUUUAUUUAUUGUUUACUUAUUUGAUUUGGGCCGGGCGAAUUUGGGCCUGUUACAGCUA